GUGUUGUUUUACAGGGUCAGCCAUAGUAGUAUGAUAGGUGUUGUUUUACAGGGUCAGCCAUAGUAGUAUGAUAGGUGUUGUUGUACAGGGUCAGCCAUAGUAGUAUGAUAGGUGUUGUUGUACAGGGUCAGUCAUAGUAGUAUGAUAGGUGUUGUUUUACAGGGUCAGCCAUAGUAGUAUGAUAGGUGUUGUUGUACAGGGUCAGUCAUAGUAGUAUGAUAGGUGUUGUUUUACAGGGUCAGUCAUAGUAGUAUGAUAGGUGUUGUUUUACAGGGUCAGCCAUAGUAGUAUGAUAGGUGUUGUUGUACAGGGUCAAUCAUAGUAGUAUGAUAGGUGUUGUUUUACAGGGUCAGCCAUAGCUGUUUUUCUGAUCUUUACAGUUUUUUGACUCCAUGGAAACCAUGUACUGUGUAUCAGUCUGUUUGGUUUCAUGCGACACUGAAAUGAAUGAGAAACAGAAAGAGCCCUGGAAGUAGCCUC
rnacentral:lncRNA from 1 species